UCUAUUCGUUAUAUAAGUACUUGUAAGUUAAAUCGCUUGGAGUGCUCGUGUCAGUAGCGUCUGAAAAUGAUUUAUAUUGUUACAUAUAACAGAAUGUUUCAACGAAUUCCAUAGGCGUAACGUAAUUACAACGCUUUAUAACGCAACAAUUUAAAUCGUGGAAGUUUCUGAUUACUUGCUGUAUAUUACUGUUGGAUGACCGCACUACGGAAUUCCAAGUAUGACUGCGUAACACGUCGGUAACCGAACGUUCUAAGGUGGCAUUAAUUUAAUGAAACGUCAGUCACGAAGAAACUAUUGAUAUUUACAGUGACAUUUAUUAGUUAAUAAUCAAACGAGAGGAGAAAUAGUAUGUUGCCUGGUAUAGGAUUGUUUGGGACAGGAAGCGUGGUCAGGGUCAUUGUCCCUUUUCUGAGAGAAAAGGGUUUUAAGAUAGAAGCUGUAUGGGGUAGGACACUUGCCGAAGCUGCUGAGGUUGCUACAUCUCUUGAUAUACCUUUUCAUACCAGUCGGAUAGAUGACGUACUUCUUAGGAAGGAUGUUGACCUUAUUUUCAUCAUGUGCUCACCAAAUCUUCAUGCCCAAAUCGCUGUUAAAGCUUUGGGUAUAGGCAAGCAUGUCGUUUGUGACAAACCUGGUGGAUUGAGUCAGAGUGAAGCUUUGAAGAUGGUGCAUGCUGCACAGUAUUAUCCUUCUCUGAUUAGCAUUGUGAAUCACAGUCUGCGCUUCCUUCCUGCGUUUGUACACACCAAGAAAGCUUUGGAUGAGGGAUACCUUGGUGGUCCAGUUACUGUUAUAGAUGUCAGAGUUCAAAUGGGAAGCUUGUUACAUAAUGGAUAUGAUUGGCUGUGCGAUGAUACUAUGGGUGGUGGUAUUUUAGCACUUGUUGGCAGUCAUGUGAUUGAUCUUAUAUUCCACUUAAUUGGACAACGGGCCAUCAGAGUGCAUGCUGUUGUACGAACAUUUACUCAAACAACAAAACAUAUAAAUGGAAUAAGACAUGUUACAUCGCCAGACUUCUGUAGUUUUCAAAUGGAAUUGAAUGGCGGUGCAUUAGUCACUGCUACACUGAGUAAUCAUUUACCAGGACAGUUAACACAGGAAGUAUUGAUAUGCGGAGCUGGUGGGCAUCUAGUCGUUCGUGGUGGUGAUUUAUAUGGUUGUCGAAGGGAGCAAGACUCCAUUGGUCAGGAAGAGGUUCUCUACUUAGACGUAGAGAAUCUGCAGGAGUCAGGUCCUCCUGUUAUAGAUUCAAUCCCUCGACCUUACGUUAAAGGACUUAGAAAAAUGAUUGGAGCUCUUGGUGAAGCUUUUCAUUCUGUUGAGGAUAAACGGGGCUGGAUAAAGGAACCGGUAUUCUCAGCAGCUACCUUUGAGGACGGUCUCUAUGUUCAAGCAGUGAUCGAUGCCCUCAGGCGAAGUAACAAGCGACGAGAAUGGAUAAAGGUUGAUAUCCUCACUGAGGAACCAGAUCCUAAUCCCUUAUUGAGUGCUGCCGUGAGAGCAACAGCUAUUUCGAUCUGAAUUGGAUUUCGUAGAUAUUUGAAUUAUGGUGAAGAAUGUUUCAUCAAGCUUUAUUUGUUGAGAAUGCAGUAUUAUAAAUUGUUUACAAAUAGAACAAAUCUAUUUCACAUUCGCACAGUCUAUAGGCAGCUCUCUACUGUUUUCAAAGUGACUGAAGGUGUUAAGUAGGUAUGCCGUGAUGAGAACUGAUACUUUUGCAUAUUUAUGUUUGAAACUCUGCUGUUGUUAUUUAUUUACCUCUCUGCGAAACAAGAAAAUGCAUAAAUUUAAGAAUCACUAAAUAUAAAUCAUAAUUUUCUCUCCGUCUGAUGUUUUAUAUUUAGCACAAUAUACAUUUUAUAUUAGUGCAUUACAAAUCGUUGUGUUCUAGUACCUUAAUGUUAUUUUAUAGUCUAACGUUCGGUUGUAUUAGACGUUUAUCAAAUGUUAAAUUAUCCUUAGAACCGUCAACUUAUAUUUUAUACGUAUUUAUAAAAACAAAGUAGUAUUUGUACGAAUAAAAGUUCAACUACAAUUUCAUUUUCUUUCAUCUUCUCUUUUUAUGUUAGAUUUUCUUCAUGGAGAACCGAAAUAUUAAAAUUCGGAAUAGAAUGAUCCUAAUUAUUGGUCAUCUCUUAUUGCUCUGGUUGUGAAUGUAAAACUCUAUGCCCAGCAAUGUACUGACGUUUAUUAUCAAUAUGUCAAGAUACUCAUAACAAUUUCAUUAUGUUAUAUUUUUAAAUAUUAUAUCUUAUACUGUUUUAUUUACAAUUAGUUGUAAAUUGUAAUUAUUAUAACGCACAAAGAUGUGUCCAUGAACAUAUCAUAUAAUGAAUUCGAAAAUGCGGAAAUGAACUGUCGUGCACGUGGCGUUUGACUUCUGGUUGUACGUGUUGUCACUUUCAUUCAAUUUUAUAAAAUCGACACCUAUUAGUACAGAUAUCAUCAUUAUAAAGUCAGAGGAACAGAUUUUUCUUUUGCAAAAGUGAAUUAGCAAUAAAGGAAGCAAUGGCAAAGAACAAGGGAGCUCGCAAGACCAAAAAUGUAUUCAAGGUGGCAGGAGCUCGUAGCCUCAAGCUGAAAGCCAAAGCUCAGAAAGUGGCGACUGAUUUAAAAAAAUUGGAUUUGAAGGCGAAUAAAACAGCAGCUGCAGAUAAAACAGCCCGCGUGGACGAGGAACUGGUAAAAUUACGCAAGGAAGUAUCGCAAGGGAAACCAUUGAAAAAUUCUAAGCAGGAGAAGAAGGAGACAGUGCAGAAAAAGAAGAAGCAGAAUUUGCCAAGAGCGAAUACAAGAUCGCAAACCGAGACGGCGGCCAAUUUAGUUAAAGAAAUGCAAAUUUAAGAAACCAUUAUUUUCCUAAUUUUCCUUACAAUGAAAUUUCGUUCAAACCCAUAAAUUUCUGUUUUAGUUAUCAAAUUUUUAUUGUAAAGAUUUCGCAACUACUAUGGCUACGCAAACACUUAUAUCCUGUACAUACAGUCUAAUAAGAAAAACUGUAUUCUAACGUAUAAGAACAUAUAAUAUGUACACUGUACAUAAAAAUUAGUAUCAGUUACUGAUUUAUAUAUUUUU